GAUCAGCAGGUGGGAGCUGUCUGAGAGGAGACAAGGACCCGGGACCGGGACCUGCUUGGGAGAAAGUCACCGGCGUUGGCCCAGAACUGCUGCCGCGAGAGUCCGGGGGAAGCGGGGAGCGAAGACCGCCUGGCCAGUUGGGUCCUUCAAUGCUCCCUCCAGCUGUGCUCACUGGCCUCCCAGGGCUGAAGUCUCUGCUUCCCCAGUCACAGCCAGAGCUGGGCAAGCUGCCGGGGCCCCUGAUGGGCAUCGUCCCGUUUCUGGCCUGCCAGAGGUCCGCGAGGAGACGUGGCUCUUCCUGCAUUGUCCCCUAGUCCCUGAGGCUGUCCAGCCCCUCUCCGGCCAGGGGCGUAGACCCCGCCUCUGUCCCCCUUCUGGGCUCGACGGCCGGAUUCUGCUCUCACCGCUACUUCACUGGCUUCAAAGCAGCAAGUUCUGAACUGGACCAGCACGAAAGGAGCGGCAGGCCCCGGGGCCUGGAUGUGACUCCGCUUCUUGAAUACGUUGUGUCGCGUGUGCCAUUCAUUUCUCCAAGUCCGAUGGGUUGGGCGCCCCCACCGUGAGCCCCGGACACCCAGCUGAGCGUUGGUCCACACGGCAAAGUUGGUUCGGCUUCACUACAUCGCUCAGGGCUGUGAAAAAUGUCGCACCCUGGAGUUGUAAUUAAAAUGACCUAAGCCCCAGUGUAGACACCUAGGUAAAUGGGAGAAUCCUUCCCUCGGCCUAGCUACGCCUCUCGGGGCUCGUCCACACUUGAAACACGAGGUGGCUUAACUGUGCAGCUGUAGCUCUUUGGUGUAGACGCUACCCACAGUGACAGGAAGGGUUCUCCGA